ensembl:lncRNA
CUGCACUGUGACAGAAGUUAAGAAUAGCUGCUGAUACCAGUAGUUAGUACACAAAGCCUAUUGUCAACUUCUCUAAACUUUGCGUCAUCUAAACAGACUUAGCAGGGAUUGUUGGAGCGAAGUGCUUAUAGAGUUAUAGAAUCAUUAAGGCUGGAAAAGGCUACUAAGUCUAUCUAGUCCAACCACCAGCCUGUACCCACCAAGCCCAGUAACCAUGGCCCUCAGUGCCACAUCAGCACAUUUCUUGCACACCUCCAGGGACAGUGAUUGCACCACCUCCCUGGGCAGCCUGUGCCAAUGCACGACCGCUCUGGCUGAGAAGAAGUCUUUCCUAAUAUCCAACCUGAACCUGCCCUGGUGCAACUUAUGGCCGUUACCUCUUGUCCUGUCACUUCUUACCAAAGUGGGUGAAUUAACUGAAAGAGAAGAUUUUAUUCAUUCAGACUGCAUUCUUGGGGAAUAAAAUCCUUCCAUAGGGAUACCUCAGUAUGCAGGUAGAUCAACUGCAUGUUUGGGCAGGGAGAGGGAAGAAAGGAUCACAGAAUCAUAGAAUGGCCUGGGUUAAAAAGGACCACAAUGAUCAUCGAGUUUCAACCCCCUGCUAUGUGCAGGGUCACCAACCACCAGACCAGGCUGCCCAGAGCCACAUCCAGCCUGGCCUUGAAUGCCUCCAGGGAUGGGGCAUCCACAACCUCCUUGGGCAACCUGUUCCAGUGCGUAUCCACCAGUACCCAUCAGUACCUGCAGCUGGCUUGUCGUGGGGGCUCAGAAAAGGAUGUACGUUUCCAAGCUGUGGUGGGACAAGGAAGCUGCCAAAUUCUGUUAGCACAGCCCAGGCGAAUUCUGCCUGGCAGCUUUCUCAGCUUCCAGAACGUUCUGAAGUGCCUGUUCCUGUACAUGAACAUCAGCUCACAGUACUCUCUGUCCUAUCUCUGUAAAAAAAGUCUGAUGAGAACAUGAAUGGACUUGAGAUUUUAUUAUUUUUUUUUACAUCUGAACCAUUCUCCUUUCAUUUCUCUUAUUUUUGCCUGGAUGCCUGCUGCUUGGAUUCUGAUGUGCGUGCAAGUGCCUGGGAAACAAAACCUGCUCUGUCAAGAUGAAAAAUGAGUUCCUGAAAAGGCUUAGUCACUGGUGGUAGUUUGCAAAGGCCUUUAUCGUUAGUUUGUCCGUCUCUCUUAAAACAAAUAUUCUUGCAGCAUGACUGCUAUGUGCCAUACAAGACAUGGGGUGGAGCAGACAGGCCGACCACGCAGAGAUGUAGAACUGAAAAAACAGUUGCAUUUAGUGUGGCCGCAGUCAGCACAGUAACACCAAAUAAAGGUGCUGCUUCAGUUACUGCAAAGCAAUGAAGAGUUUAAAGGAAAAAAAAUGAAAUAGGGAUAAAAAUACUAUUAACAGAGAGUGAUAUGAAAUAUGCAAUAGGAAAUGAAGCAUAAGGAAAGGUUUUCCAUAAGGUAUUUACAACUUUUUACUGCUGAUACUGACUAAAGGAAUACCUGUGCUGUAUUUGGGAAGAAAAUUCUCUUCCAUUUCCAGUGUUUACUAAGAGCUGCUAGAAAGCUACUGUAUGCUUUUCAUGUGCACAACACGUAGUGAAAGCUUGGCUAGCACUUGAAAUGUUUGUGCUCUACAGAAGGAAAUAACGCUAAUGAAAGCUUAAUAAUGCUUAAUAAUGCAUUUUGAAAUAUGAGCUUGCAAUUGGAGGGGAAGAAAAAAAAAAAGAAAAGCAUUAGGCUUUGCAGAGAGAAAUGAGUGUCUGUGUUCUGCAAGACUCGUUUGUCCACUGCUGAAAAUAACGGUGGUGUUUUGCUUUCUGGUACCUCUAACCCAUCGCGCUGAGAAGGCUGGCUGAGCAGCUGGGGUUAAAUGCUUUUUUCAGAGAAUUGGCUGUAAUAAUUAUUUGGGGUUGUAUAGUAGAAAAGCUGAGAUUUGAAACAGAAUCGGUCCUUUCAGUUAGUGAUGGUUUUCAGCUUCUCUUAUCCUGUGAAAGCCUCCCAUGUAUUGGUUUGAACAUCUUGUUGGCCUCGGAGACUUGCUGUUCUCCACAGGCUUACACGGCUAAAUGCUUCUGGUAUUGGAAAGACAGAGGAAAAUGUCUUUUCUGGAGAGAGGGGAGUCUUGUUUAUGCUGAGUUCAAAUAUAUGUGCAGGAUAAUAUUAACUAUUCCUUGCUUUGUUUUUGUGCUUGUCCCUUACUGGCAACUCAGGCUUUCUUUGUCACACAUGCCGAGACCCCUGGGGCUGUGCAAAGACCCGAUCGCUGCUGCUUCUCUCCUGACAGACACCCAUUUGUAGACGACUUGCAUUCAAGCUGCAUGCCUGUAAACAGUUUAUCUCUUGAGCAUUUGGGCAGAAACUUGGCAGCCAACAUUUGACGGGACAAACAAAGGAAAACAAAUGAAGCAUCACUUCCCAUUAGGAAGUAAACUAUUGUUUGGUAGGAUGAAGCACAAGAUUUCCAAAACUGCCAGAAGUCAUACUGCAGAUGCAGGUACAGCGCUAAAAGCUGUGAAGGUCACCUUUCUCCUGCUGAAAUUUGCAGAAGGGUAGGAUUUACAUUCCCAUCUUCUGAGGAGCAGAACCUGGACCUUGCAGCUGAAAGCACCUCAGUAUUCUGAGCUGUAAUUUAGCAACUAGUUCCAAGCAUCAGGUAUGGAUUUCUUUAUUUAAUGCUGCUAUCUUUAUAUUAAAUUGCCUACCUUAAGCCCAGCGCCCACCCCUUCCCUUAGUGACACACUGGGGUGUGCACGCUUGGUUGCCCUGGUUGUUUCAGAGUUGUUUUUCAGGACUAGACCUGAAUGAAAUAUCAUCAGAGAAUGUGAAGUGACCAAUGCAGGGGACAGAACUAGUUGUUCUGACUUCUCCUGUUAGUGCAACGCAUAUAUGCAUAUGAAAAGCAGAUCCAGGUGUUGGGAUAGAAGCUCUGGAGCAAAAUAAACCUCUUCUGGUUUAGGACAGAUUUCAGACAUGCUUUAAGGUAGGAUUUUCUCUUUAAUAGAGGCUGCAUUUCUUUAUAGAUGAAUGCCAGCUAAUCAAAGGAUUGCAGGGGUUGGAAGGGACCUCAAGAGAUCAUCAAGUCCAACCCUCCUACUACAGCAGGUACCCUAUAGUAGGUCACACAGGUAGCCAUCCAGAUGGGUCUUGAAUAUCACCAUAGAAGGAGACUCUGCAACCUCCCUCAGCAACCUGUUCCAGUGCAUUGCCACCCUUACUGUAAAGAAGUUCUUCUGCAUGUUAGUUUGAAACUUCCUAUGUUCAAGUUUUAGGCUGUUACUCUUUGUCCUACUGCUGUGCACCACCACCAAGAGCCUGGCCUCAUCCAUUU